AGCGGACUCAAACUAGAAAGCACCCGGAGCGCCAUCCCGUCCUCGCGCACUCUCAGUCCCCCCCAGCCCUGCUUUGAGCCGAGUCCGGGGCCUACUGGCACAAGAGCCGCUGGCGCCCGGGGUGCGGGCAUUUCCGCGCGCUGGCUCUCUGUAGCCCUCGGUGAUGCUGUCUUGCUGCCCGGGGUUGGCGCGGGCGGAAGGCGGGUGCCCUCAGGCCUAACAGGGGUCGACCGAGACCCGGCGCUGCCGCGUGGGCUUCUUGCUGCCUCUGGCGUUCCAGCCGCUGGCAGCGCCACAGGACAAAGGGCCUGGGCACGGGUGUUCCGAAGUCCGCGAGAGUGACUUCCUCUCUGGCCCAUGGCGUUUCGCUGCCGGCGUAUCCUGAGCCCGCCCAGCCGCCGUCACCGCACCAGGGGCACCGGCUGCGUGGGACCGAUAGGGCUAAUACUGCCUUGCGGAACUAGGAUCCGGACUUGGUCUUAGGGGAGCCCCCAACCCCCAGCCUUCGCUCCUAUUGUUCUGGGACCCAGGUGCGCCCGGACUGGAGGUGGCCGCGUCCAUCUCGCGACCUGCUCUGGAGCGCUGACGAGGAAGCCCGGGUCCUCAGGGUAGGGGCGCCCGGCCCCAACUCGCUAAAGAUAGCCCUGCACUUCCUGGGGAAAAACCACCCUGCAACCGUCUUGUGGGCCGCAAGCAGCUGAAGUCCAGCGGGGCCCAGUUCUGCUGCCAAGAGUCCCGGCUGUGCACCCGCGGCACCCGCGGCGCAGAAAGUGCUUUGGAAUGACACGAUCACUCCCGUUGAGUGGGCACCCAAGAAGCCAUCGGGAAUGUCGUGUCCGCCCAGUGCUCUUUCGGCACCUUCCAGCAGAAGUCCACAGCCCUGGCUGGGAAAGGGCCUUACUAAGUAGAGUCUUCUUAGAUUUCCUUCCUCUAUGAGUUGCAGGCUUCCACUUACCUGCAGAGAUGCAGCUUGGGUUCAGUCUGUUAGGAGGGUGGGUGGGGCUUGUAUUCCAUCGAAAUGGAAAUUUUGGAAACCCUCUUGGGACAGAAGAAAGGACUUUCCCACUGGUAGAAGAGCAGGCUCUGCCUACUGAGGUCUGGCCAAAUCCUCUCAUGAUCACUUUGUUUGAACUGGCCCAAACAGGUUUGUUGCCUACAUCAAGAAGCCUUUUAGGAUUGAUCGCUGGUUAAAGUACAGUGCACCAGGAUAAAGUAAAAACAUAAGUGGCUGGUAAUUCUAGCCAAGUGUGGUGUCGAAUUGAGAUUCAUUCCCUGCUCAGGUGGGAGGCUGAGAUUCUCCACGUGUUUAAAGCCAGCCUGAAUAAUAGCCAAACCCUGUCUAAAAAAGUAAAUUCUGGAAACCAUAUGAAGCUUCUACUUCCUUAGGUAUGAAAAGAAGAUGGACAAUUUGAUCAAAUUGUUGUAUUUAUUAGAAAUAACAUGCCAGGUGUGGUGGUGCAUGCCUGUAAUCCCAGUGCUCCAGAGGCUGAGUGAGGAAGAUUGCUGAUUGAAGCCAGCCUAGACUACAUAAGAAGACCCUAUCUCAAAAGAAGACCCUGUAUUUCAAACGAGGAAAGAAACCAGAAACUACCAAAGAAUAUGAGAUUUUUAUUAAACCCAGAGUCUUUCAGUGAACUACAUCACCAGCCUUUAGUCUUUACUUCCCUGUGAGCUACAUAGUGGAUUCAAGGGCAGCCUAAACUAUAUUCAGAGACCCUGUCUCAAGCAAAACAAAACAAGUUAAUUUGCUCAGGCUGCAGUUAAUCUUUUGAUCAUCCUGUCUCAGCCUCCUAGAAUGCUGAGAUUACAGGCACUUUCUAUAAUGCCCUGCUAAAGAUAAGAUAAAUAAAAGUAGUGAAAGAA